AAAUUGAGAUAGCUUCUUUCUUUUUGGCAGAAUCUCGCCCUCUCCCUCAAUUCUUUACUUCUACAAUUUUCCAUCUCUCUCAUUGUUAUUCUUUUUAUUUUUCUAUAAAAAUAAUAAUAAUGCCCUGCUUGUUUUAAGUGUUUUAACUCCCAAAUCAUCGCUACCCUUUCCGAUUGAUCUGAGCCCAUAACGCAUGUCAAGGCUCUGCCCGACUAAGUUCGCUUGGGUUCUGUCUUGGGACUUCGGGACAAGGUUAAAUUAAGGGUAUUAUAGUUAACACGAAUAUUAUAUAUAUAUAUUUUUUUUUUUAGCCCAAAGGUUAUACUCAAAAUUUAUACCAGGAGUCCUUCUAUUUGAACCCUAAAGUUACACAGUGGGUCCAUUCCUUUUUCUCACCAUUUUAUUCUAUUUUUGUAAGUUACCCAAAACUAUUAUUUAUUAUUUAUUAUUUCUAUUUUGUAAACAAACUUUCAUCAAAAGUCAUGCCUAUUAUUUUAUUUACCCAAUAGAGAACCAUAGUUGAGACACCCAAGUAAUUCUGCACUAACCAUAAAAUUUCCAGAACAAUCAGAAUCAGGAUCAGGGCCCCUAAAACUCAGAGGGGGAUAAACCCUAGCCAACGAUUAUCCUCAUAACUAAUUGUAAAAUUCGAGAAUUGAAAAACUGUCGACACAGCAAGCCUACAUGCACGAAGGGCUACUCUAUGAAAGUAGGGUGACCACUCGCGUAGCGCGACGCCUAUAGGGGUACCCCCUCGCGCUACGCGACGGUGUCAAAAUUCGGGUAUAAAUAGAGGGGGUUGGGACUUGAAUUCUGUCUUCGGAACGACGUAAAUCCGAGUUACGUAGAUCAAGUUAUCACAGAAACAGUCCAACACACACACACUAAUAUCAAAUCGCUGCCGCAGAACAGGGUAAUUACUCGAUCGCUAUUACGAUUCAGUUUCCGGGAUCAAUAUACCCAAAGAAUGUCUAAGUGCUGCCCACAUUGGGCUAUGCUUUGUCGUUUGUCGGUAAUCCGAUAAAUGAGUUGAAGCAUUGUACUUUGUCGUUGUCGAUAAUUCGAUAAUGAGUUGAAGUACUAUACUUUGUCGUUUGUCAUUUUGAUAAAUGAGUUGAAGUAUUGCACUUUGUCAUUCAUUGUGAGAAUUUGAUCUCGGGAAAUUAUCGUAACUGCUGUAUUGAUCAUUAACCCGGUUUUGUGUGCAUCCUUUCCUAAAUUAGGAUUAUUAGUCUUAAUACACUCACAAUCAAAGUAGAUGCUAAUUCUCAGAAGAAUCUGAACCAUGAAGCUUGUUAAUUCAAAUACUGCAUGCUGAUUUGUAAUUACAAUAGAUUGGAGUAAGGAUUGGAUCCGACACUGAAGGACUUCAAGAAGUGGCUUAUUUUCAAAUUAAGAAAUAUUGUUUUUAUUAAAAGCUACCUUUGUAAAACAUGGAAUUUAUUCCAUCUUUUUAAAUAAAAUCCGGUGUUUUUAAACUCUGAUAUUUUUCCUAACUCACGGUCCUGAUGAAAUUUCCGCUGCAAUGUUUUUCAAAAUAAUCACCGGUACCACUGGACUGCUCACGGCACCGAUUCCGGCCAGAUGGGGUCUGGGGUCGUGACAAUUUUCAUUAAGUUCAUCUACAUCUUAGUUAUGUCUGGUUUAUUUAGCAGCUCUUAAACAUUGGAGAUGUCUUUUACUCCAAAAGACUAUAACUAGACAAUCUAGACCUCACAUACAAUUUUUUAGGAACACACUCUUCUACUAAAUUCAAAAUUGUGUGAUUAUAAGCACUCCAGUCACUUGCUGCAGUCAUAAUUGGUGCACUUGAAGAAGUUAGGAAGAGAAUAUAGUGUGAGAUAAGUAGUAGUUUAUGGUAUUUGGAAGAAAAAAAUAGUCAGCAAGAGACACUAAUUGAGAAACCGAUGGUUUAGCUAUGUUUUCUAUAAGAAGUUUUAGGGUUUGGUUAUGCUUAUAUGUGUAGAAAAAAUCGAACCAAACCGCCAUAAAACCAACCCUUUAUAUUUUUCUAUAUAUAUUACGUUUGAGAAGUUUUGUUACAACUUUUAUAAAUAUUAUACUAUUUGCCUAUUCACUGUUCACCCUCACUUUGUAACUCGAUCAUACAUAUAAAUAUUUUAAAACAAUGACUAUGCUGACUGCAAAAGUCAAAGUCAUUUGUUGGUCUAAAGGGUUAAAGGGUUGAUUUGUACAUCAAAGCAUUCCAAUUUUCUUUAAUUGUAUGUAACUAAUAUAUAUCCACAUUAAUAAUUUGCAAUGGGAAAAUAUUUUGGGCAAAAAAAGUAUAUGUAAUUUGAACCCAAAAGUGGAUUAUAUCUUUUAGGCGGGGUGUGUUGUAACGUUUUGAAUAUUUUAACUAAAUGCAUUUCUAUGUAGAUUCUAUAUUCAAGAACUGACUCAUUUUAUUUUUUAAAAAUCAUAUUUUCUUUGUUUUUCGACAGGUAACAGGCAUGAGAUUGAUAAAUCAAUUAAGUUUCCACUGGUAGUGAACACAUGCCCCUUCUUAGACGCUGUUAAACAUGAUUGGUGGCCAUCAAUGGUGGAUUAUCUUCCAUUUAUGCGGAUUUGGAAGGUAACAGACAUGAGAUUGAUAAAUCAAUUAAGUUUCAACUGGUAGUGAACACAUGCCCCUUCUUAGACAUUGUUAGAACAUGAUGGGUGGCCAUCAAGGCAUCAAUGGUGGAUUAUCUUCCAUUUAUGCAGAUUUGGAAGGUUGUUCCCCUGUGAGCUACUUAGAUGUGAUGGUACCAGUGAGGUUCUUAAAACCAAUGAUAUUUGACAAUGAUUUAUUCGUGUGCUAUCAAUGAAAGUACAAUUGUCACGUUAAUCAUGUAUGGGGUAACAACAUAUAACAACAACAACAACAAUAGUAGUAGUAAUAAUAAUAAUAAUAAUAAUAAUAAUAAUAAUAAUAGUAAUAAUAAUAAUAAUAAUAAUGCCCUCUUUUUUUAUUUUGUUUGAAAACUAUUAAUUGUAUUGUAUAUUGUGACUGGUAAGAUUCAUAUAGGUAGCAAUGGAGGCUGGAGCUGUUGCUACCAUGAGUAACGUCAAAGCCCCAAGAUUGGUCAUGCUUUAUACUGAAUGCACAAUUCUUGCUGGCAAUCAAGCCUUAGCAUUGCCACUACAAUGGGUCUCAUGGAACCUUCCAAUGUUAGCUCAACAUAAUCAAUGGGAAAGUGGACUAAAUGAAGAGAAAAUCAAUGUCAGCCUAAAUUUAGGAAAAUUGUUGUACCCAUCAACAGAUAUGGUCCUUAUCAUCUAAAAAAUAACUAAAAUGUUGGUGACAUGCAUUACACAUUAUAUUUCAAAUGCUUUUUAUUGCAUAUUGUUGCUAUGCACAGUUAGAUAUCCAACUAUUACAUUGCUAAUGAAGUUUAUCAGGCGUUGAGGGGACUAUGAUGACUAAACGUGAUUUGCCGCUCAUACUCUGUGACUUUGGAAAUGCAAAGGUUCUGGUAAUUUUUUUAAAAAAAUAUAUAGAUUUCAAUACACAAAUACCAUUCAUCAUUUGAUGAGCAUUGAUUUUUUUAUUAUUUCAGUUUUGAGUUGAUUCUUACUUGAUCUAGAUUUUGGUGGGUCCUUAUGAACGGACUAAAGAUGGUUUUAAGAUCCUACCAGCAACUACUUUUGGAUUCAGUUACACCAGAUCUUGGCGGGUCUGCGGGUCCUUAUGAAUGGAUUAUGUUGUUGUCUAUUAUAUAUAGUUGAUUUCAUCGAAUGUAUUUUGGUGGUUAUUGAUUAAAUGAUUGUAAAAGUUUAGAAUGGCAAUGGUGUGAUCAUGAACAAAAUAGUGACUCCAUGAUCAGGCUCUCAUUGUUUGAUAAGCCCAUCUAUUCGUCUUCCGAUGCUCCAGCUCCUUGCCAUGGUGGAAGAUAGCGAUGGUGAUGAAGAACCAGGAUCGGUGAUACAGUGGAGGCAAUAUAAGCUUUGGCAAAGGGCUCAAGAGUUGGAUAUCGCAAACCCUAAAUCUAAGGCAAUCCUUGCACUUUGACGAUUAAUCUGUGCAAAGACAAUGGAUCAAACAUUCAAGAUCAAGAUAAUCUCCUCCAACUACGAUUGUUUGGUGCGGAUUUCUCGCAAUCAGAGGUACAGCUUACCGGAGAAGACGAUUUUCGGCGAACCUAUUCUCAUCUUCAUGUUUCCCCUAUGAACAGAAUAGUGGCCCCCAAAGUUUCAGUUCGUUAGGAUUACAAUGGAGAUUUGUAGGCUGAAAUUUUGCUAACGUUUCCAGGGGUUUAGAUGAUGAAUUUGAAUUUUGAAGGCUUUUAACGCUUUUAAUACAAUCUUCUCAGCACAACUUCGAAAUCAACAUCGAAAUGUGUUGAUUUACAUGUGGACUUCAGUUAUUUCAGCAGGGAGGCAAGCAGAUGCAACACACAAUUUAACUUGCUUUUUAACUUGGAAAGUUGGUGUGAGUUCCAUCUGACCAUAAUGCCUACACAUAUAGGUCUGUCCUUGAAUAUUGAUACGUCUUCAAUUGCAUUCAUUGAGUCACUGAUGAUUAGGAGGUGAUUAUUUUGGUUGUUGAGAGAUCGAUGAAGAAAGACGAAACACACGAAUAAUGUUAGGUGGUUUCUUGAGGGUCUUAGUUUGGCACCUCUUUAGAGUCUUGAUUUAGAAUCAUUGUAUUUUGGGGUUGAGUAGAGACAUAACUCUUGUUCUUUUAUUCUAUGGUUAUUUGUCAAUUUGUGUGCCACCGCUAAAGCCUACCACCGCCGCAAGUGUGAGAGACGUCUCUGAGGUUAUAAGCUUUUGCCUUAUUUGUCGGGUAACAAUAUGUGAAAGCCAAGUAGAAGCCAGCUGGACAGCACUGAAGGUUUGGAAAAAUGGCAAUAAAGUUACCUAAAAUAAAUAGAUGUUUUUUUAAAUAAAAAUAGGAUUUAUUCCUAUGAAAAUGUGUGUACUUAAAACUUGGGUUUUAUCCCAUGUGUUUAAUAUUAUGAAAGCAUGGUAUUUUACUCUGAUAAAAUAUUUCCUAACUACAAUCCUGAUGUACUUUCCGCUGCCAAAAUAGACAAACACCAAAUACCACCAAAACUGGUUGCGGCCGCCCGUUCCCGGAACUGUUAGGGGACGGGGGUUGCGACAGAAGGUGGUAUCAAAGCUAAGCCACUGAUUCAGCCACAAAAGUGUUCUGCUGAAACCAAAAUUCAAUCUGUCAGGAGAUAAAUUACGGAACUACGUGCAUAAUUGUAUUUUAUUGUUAUGUGUUAUUUGACUAUUUGUUAGUUUACAGUAUGAGCGACCAAGGACCAUCUGACGCGUACCGUCAAUUGUCUGGUUCGCCUAAAAGCGAAGGUGCCUCUUCUCAGCCUGCUCUCUCGGGGUACUCUACUGAUACUGAAGGAGGAAUAUUCGUGUUUAAGGCUCAGUCAGAAGAGCCAUUCCCUCAGAAAAAGAGAGGAUGGUUCAGUAGGGGAGCACCUGAGUGUAGGAAACGUAUGAAAAAGUUACAAGAACAGAGAGCACUAGCAGCAGCCAAAAGAGAAACCGAUGCCCAUGCCCACGGCAUGAUUAAUAGGGGUUUAGCUAAUUUCCAUAUCUUAGCAACCACUGCAGCCGACCCUAACCUGGAACAAAUGAUAGCACCCCAACCACAACCACCAUUUCCCGACCAACCAAUGGAAAUAGAGAACCCUGAAAAUCAAGUAGAAAUGCAUGAUUUCAACCCGGGGGAGAUACCUAGGGUACCCGCACCUAAUCCCUUAGACCCAAAUUACGACCCAUGGUGGGAUGACAAUAGGGACUAUGUGCAACGUUACCACAUGCCAGAAGAUGUGUCUAUGCCGAACCUUGGAGCAUACCUAGGUUUGGACCCUCUAGAUCCCUAUUACAAUAACGAUGUAUACAUUAGGGAGAUUUUAGAGAAUCCUUACCCGUUUCAGGCACCCACACCCCCAUACCAGGAACCCGCACCCCAGAUUCCGAACCCAGUCCUAGAACCUACACCCCCAAUGAGUGCAGAAAACGUACAAGAACUCAGGACAUUUGGUGAAGAAAUCUUAAAGAGUAGUGAAAGGAUGAGACAUGUGGGAGAGCGACUCGUCUGGAAGUACGACGAGCGCAAUAUGGAUUUCUGGAUGAAUCUAUAUCCAUGAAUGUGAUGGUGGAGAUGG